rnacentral:rRNA from 1 species
CUACGGGGGGCUCCAGUGAGGAAUAUUGCACAAUGGAGGAAACUCUGAUGCAGCAACGCCGUGUGGAGGAUGACGCAUUUCGGUGUGUAAACUCCUUUUAUAUGUCAAGAAAAUGACGGUAGCAUAUGAAUAAGCACCGGCUAACUCCGUGCCAGCAGCCGCGGUAAUACGGAGGGUGCAAGCGUUACUCGGAAUCACUGGGCGUAAAGGACGCGUAGGCGGGAUAUCAAGUCAGGUGUGAAAUCCUACAGCUUAACUGUAGAACUGCACUUGAAACUGGUAACCUAGAGUAUGGGAGGGGGAGAUGGAAUUAGUGGUGUAGGGGUAAAAUCCGUAGAUAUCACUAGGAAUACCUAAAGCGAAGGCGAUCUCCUGGAACAUAACUGACGCUAAGGCGUGAAAGCGUGGGGAGCAAGCAGGAUUAGAUACCCUGGUAGUC